rnacentral:guide_RNA from 1 species
AAAACAAUACUGGAUAUAUCGUAGUGAGACAUAGAAAUUAAU